AGGCUGGAGGACAUGCUUGGUCUAAAGAUCCGAACGCCCGCACUUCCGGAAUUGCACGGUUCGGUCUGAAGCGUGUGCGUGUGUCUGUGGCUCGAUGGGUGAUGAGCUGACCAGGCAGAAGCGGCUUCGGCCGGGGACGGCGGCGGGGAGGGAAGGAGGCUCGGCCCCGCGGGUUCGCACGGUGGGCGGGAAGCGGCGCCAGGAGGGCGCCGUCCUGCGCAGCGAGCGAGCGGUCCUGCCUGGCGCCUUCCCCGUUCGGCCCGAGUCCGCGAGCGGCCGGCAGUGGCGGCGGAUUCCUGAACUGCGUCCAAGGCGCCCGGGGAGCCCUCCUCCUCCUCCUUUUCUCCCUCUCCCCACCCAGCUCCCACCCCUGCGCCCCCGGCUACUUGGGAACCGCUGGCGAAGUUGCCGCAGCUCGGGCUGCGCGACGGGCCUCCGGGUGGAAGCAGGGAAGGAGAGGGAGAAGCUGAGGGGGAGCGGGCCGCCGUCGCCCCAGCCCCUGGGGAGCCGCGCGCUGCAGGACCCCUCUGUGGGCCUUUGUUCCCAGCGCUGCGCCUCCGCCCGCCUGUCCCCUGGGACUCUCUUGAAGCCACUGGGAUCCCUACCCGCUUUCAGAGACGCUGAGAAGAGCUCCCCUCCUGGGUUGGGAGGGGCGAGGGAGGGUUGGAAGGGAGGUGGCCUGGAGAUCCCCGUGGCUUCACUGUG